UAUUCUGACAUCUAUUUUUGUAUUUGUAGUUGUUUACAGAAUAAAUUUUUAUUUGGUUUACGCUGUCUGUGGGUUAGAGAUGAGUACAACCGAUUGUGUCUAAAAAAUUGAUCCCUGGUUAGUGGUUGCCUUUUGGGGGUGUGAAAGAUGGUUUGGGGAUUUGUAACCUGUGGACCAAAUGAGGCUCUUGUUAUUUCAGGAUGCUGUUACAGCAAGCCCCACUUGGUUCCAGGAGGCAGAGCCUUUAUUUGGCCAGGGAUCCAAAGGAUACAAAGAAUAUCCUUGAAUACUAUGACUCUUAUAGUUGACAGUCCCACAGUCUACACCAGUCAAGGAGUGCCCAUCUCUGUCACCGGAAUUGCACAAGUAAAAAUUCAGGGUCAAAAUGAAGAAAUGCUCCUGGCUGCAUGUGAGCAGUUCUUAGGGAAAUCUGAGCAUGAGAUUGAGCACAUUGCCUUGGUGACCCUUGAGGGUCACCAGAGGGCCAUGAUGGGCUCCAUGACCGUAGAGGAGAUAUACAAGGAUCGCAAAAAGUUCAGCAAACAAGUCUUUGAAGUCGCUUCCUCAGAUCUGGUUAAUAUGGGCAUCACUGUUGUCUCUUACACCAUUAAGGACAUUAGAGAUGAAGAGUUUAUUAAAGCGCGAUGUAACGGCUUCUCCCCAUGUGGGAACCAGGGCUACUUGAAAAGUCUCGGGAUGGCCCGGACGGCGGAAGUAAAGAGGGACGCGCGUAUCGGCGAAGCGGAAGCGAGAGCGGACGCGGCGAUCAAGGAAGCGAUCGCUGAGGAACAGCGCAUGGCUUCCGUCUAUUUGAACGACACGGAGAUCGCAAAGGCGAAGAGGGAUUUCGAGCUGAAGAAAGCCGCCUACGAUAUGGAAGUGCAGACGAAAAAUGCCGAGGCUGAAAUGGCUUAUGAACUUCAGGCCGCCAAGACCAAGCAGAAGAUUAAAGAAGAAGAAAUGCAAAUUAUGGUCGUUGAAAGAACCCAACAAAUUGCCGUACAAGAACAAGAAAUGUCGAGACGCGAACGAGAAUUGGAGGCGACCGUGCGCCGUCCCGCCGAAGCUGAAAAAUACCGACUGGAAAAAAUCGCGGAGGCGAACCGCCAAAAGGUUCUUGUCGAGGCAGAGGCCGAAGCUGAAGCUUUACGAUUAAAAGGUGAAGCUGAAGCUUUCGCUAUAGAAGCAAAAGCCAAGGCCGAAGCUGAACAGAUGGCAAAGAAAGCCGAGGCCUGGAAGGAAUAUAAGGAAGCAGCGAUGAUCGAUAUGUUCUUGGACGUUUUACCUAAGGUGGCGGCAGAAGUGGCCGCACCGCUUUCGCAAACCAAAAAGGUGACCAUGGUGUCCACCGGAAACGGUGAAGUUGGUGCCGCCAAAUUGACCGGAGAAGUGCUGGAUAUUGUAACCAGGGUACCGGCUUUGGUGAAAAAUAUGACCGGUGUUGAUAUUGCUAAAGUAAUAGAAAAAUCACAAAAAGGUCUUAUCGGAGACUAUUGAUGAUUCUGAGCACCAUUCACGAUCAUUUUCACUAAUUUUUUUUUCCGUUUUAAGUCUGUCAAAGCAGCAGCAUAGGUCCAAGGAGAAUCAAAGAGAAAUUCUAUAUGCUAUUGUGUUUGAUAAAUAUUCUAUUGUAACUUAGAGCCAAGCCUAAAGUGGGGGAUUUUACUUAAAUGGGAAAUUUUACUCAUUAGAAUUAUGAAUAUUUAUAAAGUAAAGCCACCUGCCAAUUUGUUUCUCUUUUUAACUAAUUUUAUAUAUAGACGAUAUAAAAGUGGUUUUUCUACUUUAUUUCUUCUAGAUUUUCUAACCUAUGAUAAUUGUUUUCGACUAUUUGCACAAAGUAUUUAUUUUUUUUCGUUAUGUUUUUUUUAUAUUUUUAGGGCGUUAGGCAAAUGUACGUGAAAAAUCGUUUUUGUUUGUAACCGAGUGCUUAUGUUGUGACGUUUUUUUAACUUUUAUCAUAAAUGCUUGAUGUUGGGUGCCAUAUGUGGACGCACUGCAAAAUUCUAUUUUUAAAUAUUCUGCGUACAGUAAAAAUAUAUUCUUAUCAGGA